GGCACAAGCAGGAUUCACUGCACUGUUAAUGUUAGGGUGGCCAGGCGGCCCGGUCCGGGUUUUUUCUUCCUUCUUUCACACGCCUGGUGGGCGGUGCCACCCGAUCACAAGGGCUGGCAAGGCUUUCGGAGCCUGGGGAGCGGACACCCGCACAAAGGGUGGCCAGGCGGCCCGGUCCGGGUUUUUUCUUCCUUCUUUCACACGCCUGGUGGGCGGUGCCACCCGAUCACAAGGGCUGGCAAGGCUUUCGGAGCCUGGGGAGCGGACACCCGCACAAAGGGUGGCCAGGCGGCCCGGUCCGGGUUUUUUCUUCUUUCUUUCACACGCCUGGUGGGCGGUGCCACCCGAUCACAAGGGCUGGCAAGGCUUUCGGAGCCUGGGGAGCGGACACCCGCACAAAGGGUGGCCAGGCGGCCCGGUCCGGGUUUUUUCUUCUUUUCUUCUUUCUUUCACACGCCUGGUGGGCGGUGCCACCCGAUCACAAGGGCUGGCAAGGCUUUCGGAGCCUGGGGAGCGGACACCCGCACAAAGGGUGGCCAGGCGGCCCGGUCUGGGUUUUUUCUUCUUUUCUUCUUUCUUUCACACGCCUGGUGGGCGGUCCCACCCGAUCACAAGGGCUGGCAAGGCUUUCGGAGCCUGGGGAGCGGACACCCGCACAAAGGGUGGCCCAGUCUGGGCUUUUUCUUCUUUUCUUCUUUCUUUCACACGCCUGGUGGGCGGUGCCACCCGAUCACAAUCGCUCUCAGGGCUUUCGGAGCCUGGGGAGCGGACACCCGCACAAAGGGUGGCCAGGCGGCCCGGUCCGGGUUUUUUCUUCCUUCUUUCACACGCCUGGUGGGCGGUGCCACCCGAUCACAAGGGCUGGCAAGGCUUUCGGAGCCUGGGGAGCGGACACCCGCACAAAGGGUGGCCAGGCGGCCCGGUCCGGGUUUUUUCUUCUUUUCUUCUUUCUUUCACACGCCUGGUGGGCGGUGCCACCCGAUCACAAGGGCUGGCAAGGCUUUCGGAGCCUGGGGAGCGGACACCCGCACAAAGGGUGGCCAGGCGGCCCGGUCCGGGCUUUUUCUUCUUUUCUUCUUUCUUUCACACGCCUGGUGGGCGGUGCCACCCGAUCACAAGGGCUGGCAGGGCUUUCGGAGCCUGGGGAGCGGACACCCGCACAAAGGGUGGCCAGGCGGCCCGGUCCGGGUUUUUUCUUCUUUCUCUUUCUUUCACACGCCUGGUGGGCGGUGCCACCCGAUCACAAGGGCUGGCAAGGCUUUCGGAGCCUGGGGAGCGGACACCCGCACAAAGGGUGGCCAGGCGGCCCGGUCCGGGCUUUUUCUUCUUUUCUUCUUUCUUUCACACGCCUGGUGGGCGGUGCCACCCGAUCACAAGGGCUGGCAAGGCUUUCGGAGCCUGGGGAGCGGACACCCGCAC
ensembl:lncRNA